rnacentral:rRNA from 1 species
GCAAGUCGAACGGUAACAUGAGGGCUUGCCCUUGAUGACGAGUGGCGCACGGGUGCGUAACGCGUAUGCAACCUACCCACAACAGGGGGAUAGCCCGGGGAAACCCGGAUUAAUACCGCAUGAAGCAGGUUUUCCCGCAUGGGGAUUUCUGCCAAAGGUUUACCGGUUGUGGAUGGGCAUGCGUCCCAUUAGUUAGUUGGCGGGGUAACGGCCCACCAAGACAUCGAUGGGUAGGGGUUCUGAGAGGAAGGUC